rnacentral:lncRNA from 1 species
GUACAACGGUUGUUUCAUAUAAUAUCAGAGCAGGAGGUCCUGAGUUCGAGUCACGCCAGGCUUCUAGCAUAUUAAUUUCCUCCCAUUUAAUUCAAGCCCACGUCAUGAGCCGAUUAAAAAGUCUCGAGCCCAGUCGUGAGGGGGAGUGUUAAAUAUAAAAAUAUUUAAACACCGUUCUCUAACAGCUUAAGCUUUUAGAGUACAACGGUUGUUUCACAUGGUAUCAGAGCAGGAGGUCCUAAGUUUGAGCCCGCCAGGCUCCUAGCAUAUGAUACUAUGUGAAACAACCGUUGUACUCUAAAAGCUUAAACUGUUAGAGAACGGUGUUUAAUAUUUUUAUAUUUAACACUCCUAACAUAUUAAUUUCCUCCCAUUUAAUUCAAGCCCACGUCAUGGGCCGAUUAAGCUUUUAGAGUACAAUGGUUGUUUCACAUGGUAUCAGAGCAGGAGGUCCUAAGUUCGAGUCACGCCAGGCUCCUAGCAUAUUAAUUUCCUCCCAUUUAAUUCAAGCCCACGUCAUGGGCCGAUUAAAAAGUCUCGAGCCCAGGCGUGAGGGAGAGUGUUAAAUAUAAAAAUAUUUAAACACCGUUCUCUAACAGCUUAAAGCUUUUAGAGUACAACGGUUGUUUCACAGUGUCGAGAUGUUCUAUUAAUUU